UGGGAUGGAGAAAGAGAAGGACUUGUGGCUGAAAAGGAAAUGAUGGGAACCUGAGCUUUGCGUCCAAGUUCUAUCACAAACUUAGCUUGUGCUGACCAUUGAGGUCCUAUAAUGGCCUGCACUUCUUCAUUCUUCAUUAAAUCCAGUGCUG